AGGUCGUCUUCCUUUAUUAUUUAAAGGCAUAACGUGUUAGAUAACUAGGACCGGUUAGCUUGCCUCUAAUGUUAUCACUGAAUUUUCGUAUGUGUAAACACAAUUUAUUGUAUAAAUAUGCCAAUACAGAACAAAGAACAGAGGAAGAAAUGUUGGGAUUCAAGAGAUCUCUACCACAACUGUUUAAAUGAAAACAGUGAUGGAAGUAAAUGUGAAAAUUUAAAAAAAGACUACAUGGAAAAUUGUCCAGGAGUGUGGAGAGAAUACUUUGACAAGCAGAGGAAAAAGAAACUGGAUGAAGCCAAAAUAAAACUGGGAAAGGUUCAUGAGAAAGAUUUAAAGGAUCCACGAAUAUCAAAGUCUUGACAGCGUUUUGAAAGAAACUGUUGAAAAAACUGUUAACCAAGAUGCAUUCUUUGAAUUACGUGUCUCCCAUGUGAUUAGGUUAGACAAAGAGUGGUAUUUCAUAUAAAGUUAUUUAUCAAUUAAAUGAUUUGCAAACAUCUGUUUUCAACUUUAAGAAGAGAUUCUUUACACAGUGUGUGAACAUGUGCUAUGUAAUUGCCUGAUCACGGUGGACCUUAAUAAAAAGUAUAUUAACUUGGA